CUCCCAACCCUAUGUGAACUUACCACUUGUUGCUUCGGCGCGCGCUUCGGCGCCGCCGAGGACACUUAAACUCUUUGUUUUUAUAAGCAUUUCUGAGUGGCCGAAAGGCAAAAAUACAAAUGAAUCAAAACUUUCAACAACGGAUCUCUUGGUUCUGGCAUCGAUGAAGAACGCAGCGAAAUGCGAUAAGUAAUGUGAAUUGCAGAAUUCAGUGAAUCAUCGAAUCUUUGAACGCACAUUGCGCCCGCCAGCAUUCUGGCGGGCAUGCCUGUUCGAGCGUCAUUUCAACCCUCGAGCCCGACUCUUUUGAGGACGGCUCGGCGUUGGGGGACGGCAGACUCCCCCCGGCAUCUCGCCGGGGACGCCGCCCCCGAAAUCUAGUGGCGGCCCUCCGAGGCGACCUCUGCGUAGUAACUUGUUCUCGCACCGGAAAGCUCAGAGCGGCCACGCCGUAAAACCCCAACUUUUUUCAGGUUGACCUCGAAUCAGGUAGGACUACCCGCUGAACUUAAGCAUAUCAAUAAGCGAGGGAAAAAGAAAAGAUUU
rnacentral:rRNA from 1 species